rnacentral:sRNA from 1 species
GUUUGCUGUAUUUUUCACCGUGAAUUUUUUUUAUCUGAAUUGUUUUCAGAUUGGAAAUAAUUGUUGAAUCGAUGGCGAGAAGGUGACACCUCGUAGAUACUGAUGCUCGAAGGACUGGGAUUUCCUCCAACCGAGAUGCCACCAUGAUUACUGCUAUUUAUGUUUAGAAGGGAUCGACUUGAUAAAGUGAUGGAAUCAACUGAUAAUGUUCCAAACAGGUUUGUCUUUGAUCCAGAUUUAGGAGUAAGAGUUGUCUUUUUAAUACUGUCAUCAGGAUAAAUCCUUUUAUCAUUAUUUAAAUAACGGCAGAUAAAGGUUAUCAUUGCUUUCGUGGAAAGCUGGACCAAUCUAAUGAGGGAUAUUUCUGUCCACAAACUGAGAACCGAAGCUGAAAAACAAAUGUAAUCAAGGAAUGAACGUGAAGGUACGUAUUGUAUUCUUGUUUCAGUUCCAAGAGGAUAAUCAAUCGAGACUCGAUAAUCACCGCGAUUGAUGAAAGGUGACUCAAAUUCAGAGCCCAUAAUGGCUUGGUAUAGAUACUCAUUACAUGGAGCCUGUAAAAAUUGUGCAUUACAGAAGCCUGUAUGAUUAUCUAAAUGGUUUCGUAUACCAAACCGUCCAUCUUUCACUUCGUCACUUAUCUUGGUGAACCGGCGAUUGAUAAAUCCUUUGCUCUCAUUGUAAGACAUCUCUAAAGUACAUUUUUUAAUACAAGUUCUUCUUUCCUUACAGGGUAAUUUGGAAUAGUCAUAACAUCUCGACUCGUAUGGCUCUGGUAGGGAAUGAAUAAUGGUCUUAUGAUAUGAAAUUGUGGCUCGAUUAUUGUGCUUGGUGUCAAAAUAAACGAAUGAUGGAGUCCCAAGAACGUCGUCAAGUUCAGAUAUUGGAUGAGUUAAAUAGACACCGACUUUGGUUAUAACUGGAUGGGAUACAUUUAAAGUAAAAUCAACCAUCCUGUUGGAACCAAUCAGCUCUUUCGAGUAACUUAUCGGUACGGUUGUAUUAGUGAACAGGGUGAAACACUUUGAAUACAGCGAGAUGAAUUCUGCCUUUUCCUGAGAUAUGUCUUCACAUGGUCUAAAAACGUAUUCACUAUCCAUAACAUAACAAUUUUUAACAAACUCACUCCAUGAAAGCAAACGUGAAUCAAUUUCACCUAAAGUUAGUGAGGUUUGACUGAUGUUGUUACCAAGGGGUAUAAGUUUCAAUCCUGAAAUCUUGUAAAAAAAGCAUAUUGAUAUGGCUGGUAGGUCAGUUUGCUGUGGGCUCUUUAUUUGAACAGAAGUUGACGUUUUGAAUUCAAAGUAAAUUUGUGUUAACACAGCGGUUUGGACCAAAGCACCAGUAUAACAGACAAGAACGGCAAAGGCUCGAUGAGAUAUUGCACGGCUAAGGAAAUGACGCCAAGGUGAAGCUGAAAAGGGUUUAACUGGUUUCCAAGCUGAAGACGAUGAUCUAGCUCCAGGAUAAUAUGGAUAGGUGAAUCGCUGGGAAACACGAGAUCUAGUCUCACGAUAACUAUGAUUUGGCAAACUGGACAUUACACUAUUAACCAUAAUCUUUUACCUUCAAGAGUCAGACGUAAAUUGAACAUGAAAGCAAGAAAUCGAGUAAAACUCUGAACCAGUCAAUGAAAAAUAUAAAGAACAAUCAAACUAAGAAUAAAUGG